rnacentral:rRNA from 1 species
UACGUAGGCAGCAAGCGUUGUUCGGAAUUACUGGGCGUAAAGAGUGUGUAGGCGGUGCUCUAAGUUCGGUGUGAAAUCUCCCGGCUCAACUGGGAGGGUGCGCCGGAAACUGGGGUGCUGGAGCGCGGGAGAGGAAAGCGGAAUUCCUGGUGUAGCGGUGAAAUGCGUAGAUAUCAGGAGGAACACCUGUGGCGAAGGCGGCCCCCUGGUUGGAUACUGACGCUGAUGCGCGAAAGCCAGGGGAGCAAACGGG